rnacentral:rRNA from 1 species
AUUGAACGCUGGCGGCAGGCCUAACACAUGCAAGUCGAGCGGAUGAAGGGAGCUUGCUCCUGGAUUCAGCGGCGGACGGGUGAGUAAUGCCUAGGAAUCUGCCUGGUAGUGGGGGAUAACGUCCGGAAACGGGCGCUAAUACCGCAUACGUCCUGAGGGAGAAAGUGGGGGAUCUUCGGACCUCACGCUAUCAGAUGAGCCUAGGUCGGAUUAGCUAGUUGGUGGGGUAACGGCCUACCAAGGCGACGACCCGUAACUGGUCUGAGAGGAUGAUCAGUCACACUGGAACUGAGACACGGUCCAGACUCCUACGGGAGGCAGCAGUGGGGAAUAUUGGACAAUGGGCGAAAGCCUGAUCCAGCCAUGCCGCGUGUGUGAAGAAGGUCUUCGGAUUGUAAAGCACUUUAAGUUGGGAGGAAGGGCAGUAAGUUAAUACCUUGCUGUUUUGACGUUACCAACAGAAUAAGCACCGGCUAACUUCGUG